UGAGGAAACUGUAUUUCCUGUCAGAGAUGCUCAGUGAUCCUCAGAGCAGAGAGAGGUAUUGCUGUCUUCUGAGUUCUUCAGUGUCCCAACUGAGACAUUCAAACCUCAUCACAGAGCUCAAGUCUUUCCUCACCGUCAUGUGAGUGUGAGAUUGCUCUGGAUUCUGGUUAUGUGUCUUGCAGCACCUAUAAGAACAAGCUCGUCCAGUGUGCCUGCAUUCCAGCUUCUUAUACUCUACGCAAGUGGACAGAGUAUAAGUGUUUGACCACUCUUACAGACACCGACUUCUGUCAACUCACUUCUACUGAUCAGGCACCUCACUCCAGGAAGACAGAGGGCUGCAAGCCUGUCAUCAUUUCCUGUGUGGCUAUUCUUGGGGUAGCAUCAGAUUUUUCCCACAAAUAUUAAAAGAGGCAGUGGAGACUGUCAGAAAACGACUACAAGAAGACAGCUCCUUGGAAGACAGGACCAACUUCACACCCGAUCAGAUUUGCACACUGUUAGACCUCUGCCUUACCACUACAUAUUUGAAAUACAACGAGGGUUUCUACAGACAAAAACAUUGCUGCGCCAUGGGCUCCCCCGUGUCACCUAUUGUAGCCAACCUUUGCAUGGAGGAAGUGGAAAUGAAGGCUCUUGGCUCUUUUAAAGGGAGAGUACCC